CCCUCUCUCUCUCUGCCUCCUCCACUAAUGCUCUUCUUUUACUCUGUAUUGUCAUUCAUUCCAUCAGUCAGGAAGAAGAACCCGUUUGAAUACAACAGGCCUGCCUCCCAAAUGGCACCCUAUUCCCUAUAUAGUGCACUACUUUAGACCAGGGCCCGUAGGGACUAAUAUAGGGAAUAGGGCACCAUUGAGAUACAUGGCAGAAUGGGAUCCUGUGAGAUUGAUAGUGACAUGAAGACAGAAUGCAGGGCAGGACAGAGAAAGGCUUAUUUGCACUUGAAAACAAAAACACUACAGAUUAUUACCAAAACCCUGCCGCCUUCACUGUAGUCUUUAAAGUCCUUCAAUGGCUCUCUCUCUUUCUCUCUGUUCAGAGAGUGGUGUGUGUAACUCCUGGUCUCCACAUUGUGUGUGUGUGCGUGCGAUGUUAAUGAGCUUAAUCUAAUCUGUCUGCUCCACUAUUCCCAGAUUACUGUAAUAUGACCCGUUUGGUGCCGUGUGAUAUGGGAACUACACUAUAUCCCAUAAUGAGGGUUAGCUAACACUGGUGUCGCCAUGGAGAUGUCUCAUUCAGGGAAGUGAGGAGAGGAGGUACCCCAGGGGUUAAAUUGAAGAGGACAGGAUUAGAAUUCGUGUAGAACAGACCAGUAGCUGUAAAACCCACAGGAUUAUCUUUGAAUUGGGAUAGAGGUUCUCUAUUCAUUGUAAUGCUAUGGUACGGAGUCUGGGAGCCCGUUUAAAAGGACCCCUCUUAUAGGACCAUAUUUAGCCUAUUGUGAUGUCAUCAAUUAGGCUUGCGUCAUGUCACUAUGACGUCAUCAGUUAGAAUGUUCAAAGGACUGCGUCAUCACCACAUUGUGAUGUCAUCAGUUAGAGGGUGUGUUCCUCUGUUCAGACGUUGCUGACGCCAGAUCUUACAUCGCCUGGAUAGGUAUUUUACAGAUCAGCUAAACACAUCACAUGCUAAAGCAAUCUGGUGCAACCAGUGGUUGAUGCAUGUGACAUCUGAGCAGAGAGACGCAACCAGAAUGUUUUAACAAAGGAUCACUUCAUCUGGUUGUGAUGUCAUCAGUUGGAAUGUUCUACAAAGGGCUACAUCCAAUUAUGAUGUCAGAAUCCCAGAAUAAAGCACAAUGAGUAAACUGUCACUAUACCCUGAAUCAGAACCUGAAGCAGAUACAGUAUGUGACUUAACCCGUGUCCAAGCUGGCCUGAUGUCGGCCCCAAAUCCUACAGGGAUCCUCUAAGAAUGAGAAGAAGAGGCUUCAGUGCACUUCCUGUUCCUCGUUCCGAAUGUCAUGGGCAGGAAAUGUGCGCUUUACUUACUGGCUUCCAGACAGGCAGAGAGAGGGACAGAUGGGCAGAGAGAAGGGCAGACAGACAAGCAGAGAGAGUGACAGACUGGCAGAGAGAGGGGCAGAGCUUGUCAGAGGGGACACUGUUUAGUCAGUGUGGUUUGGUCGUGGUGGGCCGGCGACCACAGCUGCCUAUAGUGUUGAGGUCAGCCCCUUUUCUCAGAUUUUGGGUAGAGAAAGGAGGUCUCCUCCUGUACCCCUCUAUAGACCCAGACACCCUGAGGUCUCCUCCUCUACCCCUCUAUAGACCCAGACACCCUGAGGUCUCCUCCUGUACCCCUCUAUAGACCCAGACACCCUGAGGUCUCCUCCUCUACCCCUCUAUAGACCCAGACACCCUGAGGUCUCCUCCUGUACCCCUCUAUAGACCCAGACACCCUGAGGUCUCCUCCUCUACCCCUCUAUAGACCCAGACACCCUGAGGUCUCUCUCCUCUCUCUCUCUCUCUACACUACAACAGUAAUUUAGUAGCCUACUGUAGUGGGAUCUGUCUCUGUAUCCACAGCAUCUGAGUUGGAGUGCUGAUCCAGGAUUAGGUUCCAACCUGUCCAUAUAAUUUGAUUCAUUAUGAGCUAAAAGGCAAAACUGAUCCUACAUUAUGAAUCACUCCAUACUAGAUCUACUCUGAGAAGCUUUGAGGAUACAGGCCGAGUCCCCCAGUCCUGGUGGCUAAACUGAUCCCAGAUCAGUACUGCUGCUCUGAGAAGCUUUGUGGAAACAGGCCCAGUCCCCCAGUCCUAGUGGCUAAACUGAUCCUGGAUCAGCACUGCUGCUCUGAGAAGCUUUGUGGAUACAGGCCCAGUCCCCCAGUCCUGGUGGCUAAACUGAUCCCAGAUCAGCACUGCUGCUCUGAGAAGCUUUGAGGAUACAGGCCCAGUCCCCCAGUCCUGGUGGCUAAACUGAUCCUAGAUCAGCACUGCUGCUCUGAGAAGCUUUGAGGAUACAGGCCCAGUCCCCCAGUCCUGGUGGUUAAACUGAUCCUAGAUCAGCACUGCUGCUCUGAGAAGCUUUGUGGAUACCCAGGCCCCCAGUCCUGGUGGCUAAACUGAUCCUAGAUCAGCACUGCUGCUCUGAGAAGCUUUGAGGAAACAGGCCCAGUCCCCCAGUCCUGGUGGCUAAACUGAUCCUAGAUCAGCACUGCUGCUCUGAGAAGCUUUGAGGAUACAGGCCCAGUCCCCCAGUCCUGGUGGCUAAACUGAUCCUAGAUCAGCACUGCUGCUCUGAGAAGCUUUGUGGAUACAGGCCCAGUCCCCCAGUCCUGGUGGCUAAACUGAUCCCAGAUCAGCACUGCUGCUCUGAGAAGCUUUGAGAAGCUUUGAGGAUACAGGCCCAGUCCCCCAGUCCUGGUGGCUAAACUGAUCCCAGAUCAGCACUGCUGCUCUGAGAAGCUUUGAGGAUACAGGCCCAGUCCCCCAGUCCUGGUGGCUAAACUGAUCCCAGAUCAGCACUGCUGCUCUGAGAAGCUUUG
ensembl:lncRNA